AAGCGGCGGACGGCUGAGUAAUACAUAGGAAUCUCCCCCUUUCUGGGAAAUAGUAUCGAGAAAUCCCCAAUAAUGUCCCAUGGUCCCCACCUUCUGGUUGGGUAAAGGACGUAACUGUUCGGAAAGGGAUGUGCUUAUGGCCUAUCAGGUAGUUGGUGAGGUAAAGGCUCACCAAGCCGAUGACGGGUAGCUGGCUUUAGUGAGUGGUCAGCCAGAGGGGGACUGAGACACGGCCCCCACUCCUACGGGAGGCAGCAAUUAGGAAUAGUCGGCAAUGGGCGAAAGCCUGACCGCGCAUUGCCGCGUGUAGGAAGAAGUUCGAAGGAAUGUAAACUACUGUGGGUAGGGGAAGAAGCCCCCUCCUCUUUUUUUGUCGCGAUCCUUUGUGGCAAUGACGGUACCCUACUAGAAAGGAGCCGCUAACUUCGUGCCAGAAGCGUCGGUAAUACGGGGGCUCCAAGCGUUAUCCGGUGUUAUUGGGCGUAAAGAGUCGUGUAGGUGGUUGGGUAAGUUAUCUNUCAAAUAUCUUUGCUUAACAAAGAGGAGGGGGAUAAUACUGCUCGACUAGAAUUUUCUCAAGGGAGAUCGGAACUGAGGGAGGAGUAGUGAAAUGCGUUGAUACCCUCGGGAACACCAGUGGCGUAGGCGGAUCUCUGGGAGAAGAUUGACACUGAGACACGAAAGCUAGGGGAGCGAAGCAGAUUAGAGACCUGCGUAGUCCUAGCCGUAAACGCAUGCUUGCUAGCUGCAUGAAUCUACCUUCGGGUGGUAUCGUGUGGCGAAGGUAACCCGUUAAGCAAGCCGCCUGGAAAGUACGGCCGCAAGGCUGAAAUUCAAAGGAAUUGGCGGGGAGGCACACAACCAGUGGAACAUGUGGUUUAAUUCGAGACUAACCGAAGAACCUCACCAGGGUUUGACAUGUAGCUGCACGUCUUAAGAAAUUAAGACUCUCUUGAAGGUGCUACACAGGUGCUGCAUGGCUGUCGUCAGCUCGUUCCGUGAGGAGUGCCCCUUAAGUGGGACAACGAGCGCAACCCCUAUUACAUGUUAGAAAUGUCAUGUAAGACUGCCUUGCCAUUUGGCGGGGAGGAAGGAGGGGCAGACGUCAAGUCCGCAUGGUCCUUAUGCCCUGGGCUACACACAUGUUACAAUGAGUACGGCAAUGAGUCUGUCGCGAGCACGUAAGUGUAAGCUAAUCUCUUAAAUGUACUCUCAGUGGGGAUUGAGGUCUGCAACUCGACCUCAUGAACACGGAAUUGGUAGUAAUCGCGGGUCAGCUAUACCGCGGUGAAUACGUUCUUGCCUCUUGCA
rnacentral:rRNA from 1 species